UACGUAGGGGGCUAGCGUUGUCCGGAUUUAUUGGGCGUAAAGAGCUCGUAGGUGGUUCGGUAAGUCAGGUGUGAAACCUCCAGGCUCAACCUGGAGACGCCACUUGAUACUGCUGUGACUGGAGUCCGGUAGGGGAGCGUGGAAUUCCUGGUGUAGCGGUGGAAUGCGUAGAUAUCGGGAGGAACACCAGUGGCGAAGGCGGUUGCCUGGAGCUUUGCUGACGCUGAUGCGCGAAAGCUAGGGGAGCAACAGGG
rnacentral:rRNA from 1 species